UGAACCCGCUAACUCGGGGAUGCGAUGCUGGCGAAUCGGGGAUACUUAAUGAACGCAUACUCCUGCUAGUCUUCGAGUCCGUAAAAUGGGACCUCCACGCUCUUUGCGCCAUGGCUUCUGUGAACCGCAAGCUCCGCGCCAUAGCCAAACGGUUGCUAUGGCGAGAGUUGUGUGUGUAUCGAGCACCGCGCAUGUUAGUAGCAUUGACAAACGGUGCGCCCAAUGCUCCCUUUGGAGACAGUUGGCAAGCGCUUGCCAAGCUCAUGUUCUACUGUUGCGGUUGUGAGUCAACUCAAAACUUCAAUGUGAGUCAACCCUCCCCAGGUCAUUUCGUCAAAACUUCUCGUUUUUCUAAAACGUCGGGUCGGAGCUUUCUAAGCAAGAAAUGCCAGGGGGAUUUAUUGUUCGUGAGCGACCCGUGUGAGCAUCCAACGCGAGACAAUGAAGAUGAUUUGGGGAUAUACAGGGGGGUUUUUCGAGGAUUUAUGAAAUCAAGAACGAGAGCGUGUUUAAUUAGACGGCAAGUAGAGCUAGAAAAGAGAGUGAGGUGCACUUACUGUGGGUUUCGCGUGUGGAGUAUGACUUCAGCUCGCCUGGUGCCUAAAAGCGCGGCUAGGCGGCUUGGGUCGCGCGAGGGUGGGUUGGAGUAUUUUGUUUGUUUAAAUGGCCACUUGUAUGGGACUUGUUGGCUUGUGCCGCUGUCGUCCGAUGAAGAUAAUGGUGUUGUUGCUGGUGAUUGCAGUCAUGAUGAUGAUGGUGCUGGUGACUAUGAUAAUCGGACGGUGGCGGAAGGCAGUUCGAGCUCGAUGGUUGAAGAGGUUGCAGAGCAAUGGACCACGAAUUGAUAGCAGCCAUGGCUUAAGGCCCAUAUUGAUAUUGUAAUAGGAGGGCCUGGUAGUGUUAGAUUGUGAUUAGGCUGACAUAAAUAUCCCCACUACAUAAAACGGAAAGAUGAAAUAUCCAUGUCAGCCUAAUCACAAUCUAACACUAC
rnacentral:misc_RNA from 1 species